rnacentral:rRNA from 2 species
UACGUAGGGGACGAGCGUUGUCCGGAAUUACUGGGCGUAAAGGGCGCGCAGGCUGUGCUGCAAGUCAGCUGUUAAAUGUCUGGGCUUAACCCGGGCAUGCGGUUGAGACUGCAGUGCUGGAGUGCUGUAGAGGCAAGUGGAAUUCCCAGUGUAGCGGUGAAAUGCGUAGAUAUUGGGAAGAACACCGGUGGCGAAGGCGACUUGCUGGGCAGCAACUGACGCUGAGGCGCGAAAGCCAGGGGAGCAAACGGG